GUCAAAAUGAACGUGUGUGCGGAAGGCCAAACUGGUACAUUUUGCCUACCGAUUAGCUGUUAAAGUGAUUUCUGCACAACGUAUUGGGAACUAUAUGUCAAUACACAGAGGAUCUGUUACUCAUCAGGGAAUUUUCAGUGACAAACACCCAGAUGAGGGAGGAGACGAGUGAACCAGCGUGAAGGAGAAACCAACUUGACACCCAUCACUGAUCUACGCAUCUCAUAUAAUGAUGAUCCAAAUGAGGUUGACAGCUGGCUGACGUUAUUUUUGGUUUGCUGCUGGUGGCAAAUUUAAGUUUGGCGUUUUUCAUAAAUACAAGAAGGACUCAAAUAGACGUUGAGUAUUUUACUUAAAAGUAACCUUCAACCCAACGUCUUUUUUUCGGAGUUCAAAAUGUUUUUGUUGCAUGCAGAAAUGUAAUUUUGUUUUCUCUGCAGGAGUUCAUCAAUUUCAUAAAUGCAACACAUUAUAGUUUGUUUAUACAUAGCAUAAAGGCAAAACAAAACGUUGUAUGCAGUGUUAUUUCAUUUUAAAUGUCAAACGGGUUUUGCGGCUCCCAGUGUUUUCUUUUCUGUGGGAAACGGGUCCAAGUGGCUCUUUCAGUGGUAAAGGUUGCUGACCCCUGGCCUAGACUGCUUCCCGUCCCGUCCUUGGGUUCCGUCUCCUCCUUUUUCUGGGACUGUGUCCUGCAGUUGGGUCCUGAUUCAACACCCGACUUAUGGCAAGACCUGUGUUCCCCUCACCUCACUAUGACUAGAAACAAAAGGAGAUGGGGUAAAAACAGAAAACACUGGGCAGACCUGACAGAGUGGGCGGAGAAUGAAACAGAGCAUUGCCCACCCCAGCUGCUUUCAAAUUGAUUUUGCUAACCUUACUAGUUUUCUGUGUCAACUACACAUAGGCUAAGCAAAGGAGGGAAAGCUGGCUUCCCCCCUUCAGUUAAUUCCUUUUUUUUUUGAAGUGUCCCCUUAAGAAUGAGUGAAACUAAUUGAGUGCCAGAUCACUCCAGUGAUCUUUUGGAGUGAACUCUGCUUCUUGGAUAACAAAAGCAGUAAGUGAUGUGAGCAGGAAAUUAACAUCAGACAUCUGUAUGCUAUUCAUUACAGGGUUUGCAUCACUCUUUUGGUUAAAGGAAUUGUUGAAAUAUCUUGCUGAUUAACUUUUCCUGGGUGAUUCCAGACAAUGUUCUCAUUUCCACAAGAGAUUAAAACAUUGGCUGAUACUGCAAUCCCCCAGAUCCUCUAUCAACUGCAGCCAAAAUGGCUUUCCGCUAAUCAGAUGGUAGGGAAAGAAUUCUGUGAUUUUUUUUUUUGCCCUGAAUAAGCCAUUCUC